AGAGUUUGAUCCUGGCUCAGGACGAACGCUGGCGGCGUGCUUAAUACAUGCAAGUAGAACGCUGAAGACUGGUGCUUGCACUAGUCAGAUGAGUUGCGAACGGGUGAGUAACGCGUAGGUAACCUACCUCAUAGCGGGGGAUAACUAUUGGAAACGAUAGCUAAUACCGCAUGACAAUUAAGUACUCAUGUACUAAAUUUAAAAGGAGCAAUUGCUUCACUAUGAGAUGGACCUGCGUUGUAUUAGCUAGUUGGUGAGGUAACGGCUCACCAAGGCCACGAUACAUAGCCGACCUGAGAGGGUGAUCGGCCACACUGGGACUGAGACACGGCCCAGACUCCUACGGGAGGCAGCAGUAGGGAAUCUUCGGCAAUGGGGGCAACCCUGACCGAGCAACGCCGCGUGAGUGAAGAAGGUUUUCGGAUCGUAAAGCUCUGUUGUUAGAGAAGAACGGUAAUGGGAGUGGAAAAUCCAUUACGUGACGGUAACUAACCAGAAAGGGACGGCUAACUACGUGCCAGCAGCCGCGGUAAUACGUAGGUCUCGAGCGUUGUCCGGAUUUAUUGGGCGUAAAGCGAGCGCAGGCGGUUAUUUAAGUCUGAAGUUAAAGGCCGUGGCUCAACCAUGGUUCGCUUUGGAAACUGGAUAACUUGAGUGCAGAAGGGGAGAGUGGAAUUCCAUGUGUAGCGGUGAAAUGCGUAGAUAUAUGGAGGAACACCGGUGGCGAAAGCGGCUCUCUGGUCUGUAACUGACGCUGAGGCUCGAAAGCGUGGGGAGCAAACAGGAUUAGAUACCCUGGUAGUCCACGCCGUAAACGAUGAGUGCUAGGUGUUAGGCCCUUUCCGGGGCUUAGUGCCGCAGCU
rnacentral:rRNA from 1 species